GCUCUCGACACCCCCACACAUAAUAUCACCGCCCUUCUUUUCUAAAGCCCUUGGACGAUCGUCUACCGGGACUCCAACAACCAGCCGAGCGCUUGCGGUUCUACUUCUAUGACAACAUUUCUCAUUAGAUUUUGGUGUGCACCAGCAGUAGCAAUGUGGCUAGAUAUCUGAGUUGCACUUAUUAUGCAGUUAUAGAUAAAGAAGACGUGGUAGAUGAACAAACGAAAGAGGGAGAUGGAAUAGAGAUGUCAACGACGAUGGAUAUCGGAAUAUUUCAUCCAUCCCCAAAUCGAACAGAAUUGUUUUAAUCGAAAUUAAAUGGGGGGGA
rnacentral:lncRNA from 1 species